rnacentral:rRNA from 1 species
UGUGAGUAGCGAGAUGUAGGUGAGAAUCCUACACACCGAAAGCCCAAGGAUUCCAGGGGAAGGUUCGUCCGCCCUGGGUAAGUCGGGACCUAACGCGAGGCCGAAAGGCGUAGUGGAUGGAAAGCAGGCGAAAGAUUCCUGCACCCGUAUAUGGAGCGAAGGAGUGACGGAGACGGAUAGUGUGACCCUCUUAAUGGAUUGAGGGCGAAGCGAAGCGGCUGGUUACCAGGCAAAUCCGGUAACCAUAAGGCUAGAGCGUGAUAGGUAAGCGAAAUCUUAGGAGAGUAGCGAAGCACAUGAUGACGGCUUCCAGGAAAAGCUUCUGGCAAUGCAUAUGCGGCCCGUACCAAAACCGACACAGGUGGGCAGGGAGAGAAUCCCGAGGUGAGCGAGAGAACUGUUGCCAAGGAACUCGGCAAAAUGACUCCGUAAGUUAGUGAGAAGGAGUGCUUAAGCAAUUAAGCCGCAGUGAAGAGGCCCAAGCGACUGUUUAACUAAAACACAGCUCUCUGCGAAGUCGCAAGACGAAGUAUAGGGGGUGACACCUGCCCGGUGCUGGAAGGUUAAGAGGAUCUGUUAAGAGCGAUCUGAAGCAGUGAUCCGAAGCCCCAGUGAACGGCGGCCGUAACAAUAACGGUCCUAAGGUAGCGAAAUUCCUUGUCAGGUAAGUUCUGACCCGCACGAAAGGUGUAACGAUUUGGGCGCUGUCUCGGCAGCAGACUCGGUGAAAUCUUAGUACCUGUGAAAAUGCAGGUUACCCGCAACUAGACGGAAAGACCCCAUGGAGCUUUACUGCAGCCUGAUAUUGAAUUCUGGUCAUACAUGUACAGGAUAGGUGGGAGACAAAGAGACGUGCACGCCAGUGUACGAGGAGUCGACGUUGGGAUACCACUCUUGUGUGACCGGGGUUCUAACCUGGUAUCGAGAACAGGUACGGGGAGAGUGUCAGGUGGGCAGUUUGACUGGGGCGGUCGCCUCCCAAAGAGUAACGGAGGCGCCCAAAGGUACGCUCGGAUUGGAUGGAAACCAAUCGUCGAGUGCAAUUGCAGAAGCGUGCUUGACUGUGAGACUUACAAGUCGAACAGGGACGAAAGUCGGGAAUAGUGAUCCGGCGGUGCCGAAUGGAAGGGCCGUCGCUCAACGGAUAAAAGCUACCCUGGGGAUAACAGGCUGAUCUCGCCCAAGAGUUCACAUCGACGGCGAGGUUUGGCACCUCGAUGUCGGCUCAUCGCAUCCUGGAGCUGGAUUCGGUUCCAAGGGUUGGGCUGUCCGCCCAUUAAAGCGGUACGCGAGCUGGGUUCAGAACGUCGUGAGACAGUUCGGUCCCUAUCUGUUGUGGGCGAAGGAGAUCUGCGGAGAGCUGUCCUCAGUACGAGAGGACCGGGAUGGACCUACCGCUGGUGCACCGGUUGUUCCGCCAGGGGCAUAGCCGGGUAGCUAAGUAGGGAAAGGAUAAGCGCUGAAAGCAUCUAAGCACGAAGCCUACUCCAAGAUGAGAUCUCCCAUUCGCAAGAAGUAAGACCCCUUAAAGACGAUAAGGUAGAUAGGCCAGAGAUGGAAGUGCAGUGAUGUACGGAGUUGACUGGUACUAAUCGGUCGAGGACUUAAU